GAUCGAGAAUCAGCUAUUGUGGACUUUAACAGCUAUAAUUCUGACUGCUUUAUCUUCUUGCUUAGCAUUCGUGCAGCUGGAAGGGGUCUUAAUCUUCAAUCUGCUGACACAGUUAUCAUAUAUGAUCUGCUGACACAGUUGUAAUAUAUGAUCCUGAUCCAAACCCUAAAAAUGAGGAACAGGCAGUGGCUAGAGCCCACCGAAUUGGGCAGACAAGAGAGGUCAAAGUCAUUUAUAUGGAAGCUGUUGUUGACAAAAUUUCUAGCCAUCAGAAAGAGGAUGAAUU
rnacentral:misc_RNA from 1 species